AGCAGUAGCCACGGUAAUACGAGGGGAGCUAGCGUUGUUCGGAAUUACUGGGCGUAAAGCGCGCGUAGGCGGCUUUUUAAGUCAGAGGUGAAAGCCCGGGGCUCAACCCCGGAGUUGCCUUUGAAACUGGAAAGCUAGAACCUUGGAGAGGUCAGUGGAAUUCCGAGUGUAGAGGUGAAAUUCGUAGAUAUUCGGAAGAACACCAGUGGCGAAGGCGACUGACUGGACAAGUAUUGACGCCGAGGUGCGAAAGCGUGGGGAGCAAACAGGAUUAGAGACCCCGGUAGUCCCUGUCUCUUAUAC
rnacentral:rRNA from 1 species